UAAAUAGGAACGGUUUUCUAUAGCAAGGCACAUCAGUUUCGUUUUGUGUUAACACUGUAACAAGCAAAUCAAGUAAAAGUUCAGAAAUUGUAACGAUGAAUUCCAAAGUAAUUAUCGUGGCCUGUCUCUUCGUCGUUUUGGCUUCAUUUACAACAGUCGAAGCCGUCCAUGUUUGGGAAUGCGAUGAAGUAUGCGCUCGUGGCGAACCGACACAAAACAGGAAUAUUUCGGAGUGUUGCAGAUCUCGCGGUUACCCGAGAGGUGGAUGGUGUAAUCCUGGCAAUAAAGGAUGGUGCAAUUAAUGGAACUCGCAACUAAAAGCAAACUUUGUCGAAUAUGGUUGGAAGCUC